GAAAGAAGUGCGGCAGCCAUACAAUCGGCAACAGGACAAACCCCUACCACCUGAGCCCCACAGUUGGGUGAUGUUCUCAGGCUUAUGGACUUCCCUCUUUGUUCAUUUAAAUCACUUAGAGCUUCUGGAGAGAGUUCAACAGUUCAGCAGCAAGGCCAACAUUUACACUAAUUUCCCAACAAGCUGCUGGUUUCACAUAUUUAUGACACCUUGAGCUUACCUGAGGAACACAUCUGUUUUAAAGAAUAGUAGAUGAACAUUUGUGUGGCAAAGAUGAAAAUGAUGUGACUCAACAUUCACAAUUUAGCCCAUUGUGUCACCUUCUGGUAGUACAGCACACACAACUUCAUUUGCUACAAAUAAAUAUUGAAAACUACUUUAAUUGGACACUAUGACUCUAAUGAAUUCCUGUUAAUCUCCUGGAUUUGUGUAUAUUGUCCUUGAAUGAGGAAAAUGUCUGUGUGAAACUGAUAAGUAUAAAUUGUUUUAGGUUUUCUUAAUCUUUCAACACAAGAGGUUAGAAAAAGAAGGAAAAUAGAAAAAAUGUUUUUACAUGUGAAAUAAUAAAAAUAAGUUGUUUGCCA